CGUCACUACUUCGCACCAGUCGAACUGUUAUAUUUGUCGCUGCGGCGGAGCCUCGAAUCGUGAAUCACCAGCCAUGACUGCUGCUAUGUCGGUCUGCCGUCGGGACUGUAGGUGCAAAAGACCGAAUUUUAGGAUAAUCAAGCAAGCUUCAAGACAGGCGAAGCAGUCAGCAUGGCGCGAAGUUUCGCUUACCCAGUGCGACGAACUGCAGCGCGCCACAUGAAAAUGGGCUCUGAAUUUCUAGCUGGAAAUGGUCUUCCCAGCCAGGUUUCCAACUGGAAUCAGCCCUUCCAGAUGGAAAUUUUCCAGAGCCAGCUGGAAAUGGCACUUUCCAGCUUGAAGUGGAAUCCACCUCAGCUAGUUUUCCAGCUAGAAGCAGCACUUCUAGCUGGAAGUUUUCCAGCUUCAGCUGGAAACAACUGGAUACAGCAUUUUUUAGCUGGAAACAGCGCUUCCAACUGGAAACAACUGGAUGGAGCAUUUUCCAGCCGGAAGUAGAAUCUAUCGACUGGAAAGUGGAGCUUCCCACUUGCAUUGCAAUACAUUUUUUGUAUCUGCAACCAUAGCCUCUGCUGCAACAUGUCCAUAUUUAGCCCUAGGUGGUGUUUGUAUCAGAACGAAGAGCUUUUACUCUUGCAGCAGCAGCAAAAAAAAAAAAAAUUUUUUUAUUCGUUUGUGUUGUGACAACAAUCGUAAUUAAUUGCAUGAACUGCAUGGAAAUGCUCGUCACUCAGGGUACCUUUGAUCGCGAUCGAUCGGGAUCGAUUGCAAUCGAAAGUAGGAGUUGCCAAAAAAUAUAUCUCCAGGAAAACUGCCACUUUUAUUGAACCUUACUUGUAGUAGACAAAAGCGACGCGCUCUUGAUCGACACUGUGUUACCUUGCUACACUGUCGACGUCGUCUAGCGAGGAGCUUGCCCGAUUGGUCAUGAUGAGCCGUUGCGCAAACGGCUAGUGUUUACAGCAUAGCAAUUCCUUCCCUAACAAAAAAGAGCCUUAACAUGUGGCACCUUCAGCAGUUAUCAGGCUGCAAUGACCGCUGCUCCUAUCUUUUCCUUCCUGCACGACGCCGCUACAAUCGCCGCCAUUUUUGUUGAAUGCUUAGUAGCUUUAGUCUCGUAUCUUGUCUUGAUGUGCUCUUUUGACACUAAUAAUAAAAUAAUAGCCUGGUAUUGCAAUAUAAGCAUUUCUCGGAAAAGCUCGAAUUUUUAUUCGCAGCAAACAGCAUCAUUACAGAUGCAGCCCGAAUAUAAAAAAUAUGACGACGCCACAGUGGCCCUAGUUUCGUACAGCACAUGGCGGAAUCUGUCAUGGCGAGGCAAUUUUGUGAGACAACGAGAGUCUCUCGGGUGUGCGUGUGAUCAAGUUUUUGUGAGGAACCUGCAUGAUCUUGCGCAUGAAGUAAAUAUUUUUGGACAGUUUCUUCUCUGGACGGCGUUACAAGUACAGGCAAGCGGGUAUCAACGGUUGUUAUUGCUGUACUUUGUGGUGUUGUGAUUCACCAGUGCGGAUCGAAGAGCACCGUUUUCUCCAGCCCGGAUUCUACAAUUUGGAGAUGGUGUACAAGGCGAUGUGCAAGUGCAUUUCACACCUUGGGGAGCUACAAGAUAUGCUUUCACAAUCCUUGCUGCAAGUGUUCAAAUAAAGGGUUUCAAGUUUCA